UCCAGCAGUAGUCAGCUCCCCAUUGCUGCUCAGUGCCUGGGAUAGUGUUAUGCUGCUGGGAGAGAAAGGUGCUGCUGAGUCACUCCUGGCACCACCCGGCGCUGUUUUGGCGCUGGAAGGAGCCAGGUUUGGCAGCACCCUGCAUGCUUGAGAGUGGAGUAACUCCUGGGUGGAGUUAAUCCUAGAUGGGAUGCAGACAAU
rnacentral:snoRNA from 1 species